UCAAAACGAAACACUCCACAUCAUUUUCGGAGACAACAAGUGAAAAGGAAAGAAUAAUCAGUUUCAGACAUAUUCAAUUCUACGAGAUCAAGAAGUUUUUUUAAAUUUAUUUUUCAAUCUGAAGUUUGUACAAACGCUAUAGUUGAUAUGGUGUAGUUGAUUAUUAAAAGUCAAACUUCGCCAGGAAUCCUCACAGACAAGCCUGAUAAUGCCAGAGGACAAACUUCAAUUCUAAAAGCGUAAAUUUAUGACUUGGAUGAAAGGUUGCCAAAUUGACACUCAUACCACAUCUUAUAUUUAUGUGUAGGGUACUAUUGAUAAGGCUUGCAAGCACCAACUCAAACUACCGGUUAACCGGUUAAUCGGUCAAACGAUUAUCCGAGUAACCGCUUAGGCAAAAACGUACGAUUUGACAACACUAAUAUAUACAAAGAAUAAAGUGUAUUUUCAGAAUUCUAUCUGCUAUCAUUUUCAAGUUUACUAUCCACGGCGGUCACAGAGUUUAUUAAAUAGAGAGAGUCUGUAUACUAUAUCAAUGACCACCAUGGAUCGAUUAGUAAACUUAGAAAGUAAAUACACUAUAUUUGUAUAGUAAUGAAUGGUCAUAAUAUACAGAUAAGCGCUAAAAAUAUUCAUGUGACCUUUUGAUACCUUUUCUGAAAUUCUCCAGUCAUUAAAUCUUUUACAAAAUUCAUUGAUUACAAAAAAAAAAAGAUGUGUUUUGAUUGCCAUGUUGAGAUAACUCUCCACAAGAGACCAAUAUGACACAGAAAUUAACAACUGUAGGUCACCGUACGACCUUCAACAACGAGCAAAGCCCAUACCGCAUACUCAGCUUUAAAAGGCCCCGAACUGACAAUGUAAAGACGUUACGCGCGAUGUUCAUACCUCAUUGGAAAAUCGAUGUAGAUGGCAAGAUACAAGUCCAAAAUAUA
rnacentral:lncRNA from 1 species